rnacentral:lncRNA from 1 species
AGGUUGAAUUAUGUCAAAGGUGAUAGGAUUUUCGCUUGACAUUUUGGAGAUGAGAAAAGUGAAGAAAUCUAAGAAGGUUUCUUCUUUUACGAUGAUAGUCGACGAUAUGAUUUUUCGUGUCAGAACGAGCUACCGGAUGCCUCUUUCCCAGCGGUCCACAAGCACAAUCUUUUAGAGCUAUCAUUGAUAGAUGAUGAUUUGACUGUGCUUACUUUUCCUUCCGAUUAUUUUGCAUUUUUUGACCUAGGUGUGGUAGCACUUGGACACGUUACGAGCAACUUUGUCAAGUGAAGGCCGCCGAGAACAUGAUGGCUCAGAUUUUUAAGGUAUAAUAUUUUUUGUAUACUUCAUUAUGGAUAACCCAUUUGAUUGGACCUAACUGGUUUUUAUUGUCUUUAGUGAUUGUAAAGGGCUAUUUUUUAGAAGAACGAAGGCAUUAAAUAGGCUAGAAAGGUACGCUUCCUACAAGAUACGAAUACCUUAUUACAUGGAAAAGUUGAAAAUUUUAAGGUGGGAGAAACUACUUGGCUACCAAAAAGGUGGUAGAUGAGUUGGCGGAGAUGGUUAGUAAAAAGCUAGCUUUGGAGGAGGAGCUUGCAAAGAAAAAAAAUCCUCGGGAGUUCAGAUUGCUUUUUUGGAGGAUGUUUUGGAAAAUUAUCAUCUAGAGGUUUAGAUAACUACAAUUGCCUUUGAUAAUUAUGUUUUUACACUUAUUUAACACCCAAAUAUGCUAAUUAAUGAUUAAAUUGAGCGAAUUCCUAUUCAUAAUUGUGUAUUUAUGGCUUUUAUAGGUGAAACAACUCAAGGAAGGAGAACAAAGCAAAUGAGGUGAAAAUGGAUCAAAAUCACACAAAAUUGUGAAGUUGGGGACCAAAAUGUACAAGUUCCAGAGUUCAAGGACUUUAUGUUGCAAUUUAUAAAGGGCUUAAUCGAAAGAAAAAUCAAGAUUUGAGGAUCAAUUGUACAAAUUCAUAGUUGAGGGACAUAAUGUGCUUACACUGAAGGACUUAAGCUACAAAUCACUGGAUAAGGGGGCAUCGCCUAGGCACUACUAGGGCACCCACUCGCUGUCCAUUUAUAGAUUUUUGGUGUCGAGGAGCCCUGGCUAUUGAUUGGGGUGUUUUAUUUUGUUUUUCAAAAUCCAGGGACUAAUUUGCAAUUUUUGGGGAUGGUAUUUUGCCCUUUUUAAAUGCAUUUGUCAAUCAUUUUAACCUUAUUCCAUCUUUCAUCGGUUUGAACACACAAAAAUCCUAGGCUUAAGAGAAAAAAUAGU